rnacentral:tRNA from 1 species
GCUCCGGUAGUAUAGCCAGGACAAGUAUACGGGGCUUUCGACCCCGGGACCCGGGUUCAAAUCCCGGCCGGAGCA